rnacentral:lncRNA from 1 species
AUCUUGUCUUGUGGCUUUGUGAAGUGAGGACGUCAGUACUUUUGUUGUUUGGUCCCGCCCGUUGUUCACAACUUGAAAGACACUUGGAUAUGCAGACAGACGUUAAACAAUUUCGUGUUGCGUUUUAUCACAGGGGUCUUGGGUUUCCAACUACGAAGCGUUUGAUUCACACAGAACAUUAGGCCAAUUAGCCUGCACAAAGGGAAAAAAAAAUAGCUGAGCUUGGCCGGGCGCUCACGCCUGUAAUCCCAGCACUUUUGGGAGGCCGAAGCGAGCGGAUCGCGAGGUUAGGAGAUCGAGACCAUCCUGGCUAACACGGUGAAACCCCGUCUCUACUGAAAAUACGAAAAAGUAGCCGGGCGUGGUGGCAGGCGCUUGUAGUCCCAGCUACUCGGGAGGCUGAGGCAGGAGAACGGCGUGAACCCGGGAGGCGGAGCUUGCAGUGGGCCGAGAUCGCGCCACUGCACUCCAGCCUGGGCGACAGAGCGAGACUCCGUCUCAAGAAAAAAAAGAAAAAUAGCUGAGCUUCAGGCUCUUCCUCUCCCCACUGUGCUGGGCCUGACUUGAGACUCCUCUGGCCCUUUUUAAACCUUGUGCUGGUGGCAGGAUGUCAACUACUUCACUACCCUGUGACCAGUUUUUAGGUUUUUGUUUUUUUUUUUGAGGCAGUCUUUGUCGCCAGGCUUGAGUGCAGUGGCGCCAUCUCGGCUCACUGCAACCUCUGACUCCCUGGUUCAAGCUAUUCUCCUGCCUCAGCCUCCCAAGUAGAUGGGAUUACAGGCGCGCGCCACCACGCCCAGCUAAUUUUUAUAUUUUUGGUAGACACCGGGUU